AAAGUAAAUAGCUGCCAGCAAGGAGAACAAACGACAAGAAAUGUGGGGACCAGGAGCCCCUGGUCACUGCUGUUGGGAUGGUAGACUGCUACAGUCCCCUGCAAACAAUGUGGAGGUUUCUCAAAAAACUACAAAUAGAACUUCCGUAUUACUCAGGUUGUGCGGAUCCAGAGGAUAUAUUUAAAUGACUCUUCAGUCCUACCACAGAGACACUCGCACACAGUGAUUUAUUCCUGAAACAUUCACAGUAGCUAAGGAAAAAACAGCCGAGAUAUUCACCAGUAGAUGAAUGGGUAGAGGAAAUACAUUACAUACACACAGUGGAAUUUUUAUUCAUCUAUAAAGAAAUGUUAAAUGCUAUUUCCAAGAAAAUGGAUGCAACUGAAUUUCAUUAUGAGGCUCAGACAAACACUACAACCUGUUUUCAUAUGUCGAUUCUAGCCGGUGGUUUGGGUAUGUUUAAACAAGAAAGGAUAAAACAGUUUUUAAAAGAGAGGUAUUUGGAUACAGACCUAUGACAUGAAAACAAACGGAUUAUUAGGAAGGGGAUUAGAAGGAAGAUGAGGGCGGGAUGGAAGAACCAUUAUUAUGAGAAAACUCAUUACUCUGUAUGCUGAUUUUUAAAAUUAAUCAAAUAAAUUCUGAUGGAUGUCUUUUGGCUAUCAGUGAAAAGUGAAGCAUGGAACUAAUAUGCAAAAGCAGCUCACUCACAGCCCAGGCUGCAGAUGGGUGGAGACUGUAGGGAACUGUAGAGUCAGGAAAUAGAUUACAUACAUCCAGCUUCCCUUCCCUUCCCUCCACUCUCACCCAUCCCCCACCCCACCCCAAGUCACAGUCACAUCCCCUUUAAGGGGAAGUUCCUUUUAAAGCUAAGGUUUAAAUUUUAAAGAUCAACCUGAGAUGUUCUUAAAGAAAAUACUUAGGAUUAAUCAUAGUUUACUCCAUAAGACAGCUUAGGUGAUUCUGGUAUAGAAAUUCAUAGCCUGGGAGCAGAUGGCUGUAACCUAGUAUUCAGAAGAUCAUAGGUUCACAGCAGACCCUGAACUACAUAGCAGAACUCUC
rnacentral:lncRNA from 1 species